rnacentral:rRNA from 1 species
AUCCCGCGAACCAUCGAGUCUUUGAACGCAAGUUGCGCCCGAGGCCUCUUGGCCAAGGGCACGCCUGCCUGGGCGUCACGCCAAACACGCUCCCACCCCUCAUCGGGUUGUGGGAUGCGGCAUGUGGCCCCCCGCCUCGUAAGAGUCGGUGGGCCAAAGAUGUGGCUGCCGGCGUAUCGUUCCGGACACAGCGCGUGGUGGGCGAACUCGCUUUACUUAUCGCAGUGCGUCCGGACCGUARCCGACGUGAUGGCCUUAAGGACCCUAUGAACGGGGCGCAUGACGCUCCGACCGCGACCCCAGGUCAGGCGGGACUACCCGCUGAAUUUAAGCAUAUAAAUAAGCGGAGGAGAAGAAACUUACAAGGAUUCCCCUAGUAACGGCGAGCGAACCGGGAUCAGCCCAGCUUGAGAAUCGGGCGGCCGUGCCGUCCGAAUUGU